rnacentral:lncRNA from 1 species
GCAUCUCCAAUCACUAUCUCAGUCUCUACUCCUAUCUCAAUAUUUAUCAUUGUAAUAGUUCUGACCUUGAUUCUCUUGCCCCUGGGCUCAAAUAUCCACCAACUGAUAAUCAAGAUACUUUUAUUCCUCUUCAAACUCAGUCUUAUAAGUUCUAGAUGUAGAACUCUAUGCCUCUACUAUAUUUACUUUCUCAGUACUCAUUGUUGCAAAUUUUUUUGUAAGAAUCCCAAUGUCUAUUUGAAGCCGGGAAAACUCUUAAGCUAUAAAAUCAUGACCAACUCCUUCAUCAUUAGUUUCUCCAAUAGAAUAUGUACCUAUACC